UGUGGUAGGACAGUCCAACCAAGACUGGCCACAUGCUCCACGGUUUUCAAACUGGUAUGGGAUGUAGCGCUAUCGUGCCUGCAAGAGAAAUAUUGUCUUCUUCUCUGGCCUGCUUCUGGAAUAUUGAGCUUUCAGCUUAACCAGCAUUACAGUGUGGUGGUCAGAGUUUGUCCAGGUUCCAGGAAAUCCACCUUUCCUAUCCCAAAACAGUGCAUGUCACUUUAUCCGCAGCUUUUGGGAAAUGGGGAAUUCACAUCUCACCACUCCAUGUAAUGCUGUUUUGAUUCUGGCUUGUAGUGAUGAUACCACAUCUGUACUUGGUAAUGAUGCAAUCCAGGAAACUGUCACCUUCAACCUCACAUUGGUUCAAUAGGUCCUAACACACUUGCAGUAUAGAACAUAUAUAUGUUCUCUCUGUUUCUGUGUGAGCAUUUGUAGGACCCACCUGCCACAAACUUUGAAAUAUUGCAAUGUUGCCACCAUUGACACUGAUAUUCAGCUCUGUACACAGUUCCCUGGUCACAACUGGAUGAGCUGACUGAGAUACUCUUCAUCUUACGGUAUGACAGCUGUGCAUGGCCAUCUGGAAAGUGACUUGUCUUUCACAUUGCUGUUCCCACUGCUGAAACACCCUCCACCGCACUGUGCUCACAUCCACUGUUUGGACCGCAUAAAUGUUCAGCAAGUGUUGAUGAACAUCAAUGGGUGCAAGUUUUUCUGCAUGAAGGAAUUAAAUGAUACACCCUUGCUUCAAUGAUACACCUUGCUUCAUAAAGCCUAAUUACCUAGCUCAUCUCCUGGAAAUAUAAUGAAACCCACACAAUUGGUAAAGCAUUCUGAAACAGGGUAGAGUCAUAUAUUUUGGCAGUCCUGAGGAAAAUAUGGAAAUUAUGGAAAUUUUUGGUAAAUUAUGGAUUUAGCUAAGCACCCCUAUCUCUUCAGUGGAUUGGUGAGACGUCUUACUACCAGUUAAUAUCUUUCAGGAAGGUUGUUUCCCUGUCAAACCUCAUCCAGAAUAUAAACAGAAAUAAACAGAUCGGUGACAAACCAACUCUCUGAACAUCUUAAAGAGUGAUAUCCCCAAUUGCUUCAUUCAAUUUGAUGGCUCUUUUCUAAUUUUACCUUUUGAGAAGAUAAAAUACUAAACUUCCCAAAGUUUAAUUUCUUUCAGUCCUUCAGAUAUUAAGGCUUAAAUAAGGGGAUAUAACACUAAAAUUAAGUAAAGGCUGUCAUUAAUUAUUACCAGUUGUUACAGUAAUUGACUUUGGCUAUAUACAGAUCAAAUAAACGAGAGCGUAUGUUUAAUGAACAGACAAUACGUUACAGGACUGUUUGCUUUAAUUUAUCAUCAAUCAUACAGAAUGUUUUAAUAACAAGUUUAUUUUAGCAUUAUUCAAGUCCAAAAUUCUUCACUCAAGCAUUUUUUUUCUUCCCUGGUGGCUCCAUCUGAUGAUUAGAAAAAUAUAGCAAAGUACCAUGGCAAUACUUGCAGUGCAUUAAGACAUACUGAAUAAAGUUUUCAGACUGCUCAGGCCUAUCAAAGAUAGAAAAAUAAAAAUAAAAAAUAAAAAGCACAACAGUGUCAGACAAACAUUUCAAAGCUAUUAUUUUUGGUGAAUUCAUACAGUUUUAGUAUAUUUUAUAUUAAAAUAUUUAUAAGAGACCACAAAAACAGUCUUUUCGUAAUAAAGGCAAUGUACUAUUUUGUGGACUCAACACAUUUCACAGUUUGAAAUAAAUUUCAAGCACUCUCUAAGUAUGACCUGGCAAUUUGGAUGUCUAAAUUUCAUUGCUCAGCAUCUAGCUCCUGAUGUGAAUGAUCAAUGUCACUAAGAGGCAAGUAAUACUCAUGAGGACUAACUUUGAGGCACAAGGGGUUAAUUUCCCUAGACUUCCUUUCCAGUCAGAUGAAAAAAAAAAAAGACUCUUACAGGAAAAUUCAGAGAACAGAACAAUUUUCCCUUUAUAAAGGUAUAUCUUUGUCAUAGAAGAGAUAUAGGUGACCAGCUUUACUAUGAUUAGAUUGCCCAUGUGCCCUCAGAAAUCAAACCAGUUGUGAUCUUCACUGAGAGCUCCUUUCAAAUUAAGCCAGUCCUGAACUUCAUCGAGGGCUCCCUUGUAGCAGCACAGAUUAGUAACUAAUAUGAAGAAGGAAACAGCACGAUCAAACCACAGCUUUCACCUCUUACACAGCCUUCUAUCUCAUAAGAAAAAAACACUGGUCUAUGUUACCUGUACUGUGUUCACUUAUUUCUCACACCUGGAGCCUACCGAGGAUGGGCCCACUUCUCAAGCCUGUCCAGGUCCCUCUGGAUAAUAUCCCUUCCUUCUGUUAUAUCAACUGCACCACUCAGCUUAGUGUCAUGAGCAAACUUGCUGAAGUUGCAUUCAAUCCUACUGUCUAGGUCAUUGAAAAAGAUGUAAGAGAGCACUGAUCCCAGGACAUACCCUUGGUGACACUACUUGUCAUGGGCUUCUGCCUGGACAACAACCCUCUGGCUGUGGCCUUCCAAUCAAUUUGUAUCCACUGAAUAGUCCACUCUCCAAAUCCAUCUCUCCAACCUAGGGAUAAGGAUGUCAAGUGGGACCAUGUUAUAGGCCUUGCAGAUGUGCAGACAAACAACAUCAGCUGCCCUCCCUUUGUCUGCUGACACGGUCACUCUAUCAUACAAAGCCACCAGGUUGAUGAUCAGCUGAUACUGUUGUAAAAUACAUUUUAGGCUUAGAGAACAUUGAUCAAGUCCAACUGCAAAACACUAUAAAGUUGUUUUUCUUGGUUUUCCUUUGAGUUUGUAACUCUGUCAGUUGAGUUUAAUUUAAAAUAUAAUGCUAUGCCUCUCAAAUCCUCUAUUAGAAUUUGUCUUGCUUUUAAUCUUAUCCACUCUUAUUUCAACAGCCAUAAUACUUUCAGACUUCACGCCCACUUUUUAGUGAAGAUUGCUUACCAUAGGAGGAAUAGCAAAAUGCAAGAACAGCACAAGAGUAAGCUGGCAGAACCCUGAAGUCCAGCGUUUUCUGGCAUGGCUCAUAAUAUAUAUCCAUUUUUCAAUAUUGGAAUAAGAUGUAAAAAACAUCUGACAACUAUUAUGAAGCAGAAUAUUUACAUGCAUUGUACUGUUCACCUAACAUUCUAGUCCAAAAUCUAUUAAAAUGACCAAAGGCUUUUCACUUAUUUCAGUGGAAUCUCAAUUAAGUCCAUAAGGAUGGUUAUCUCCAAAAAGUGGGUAGGGAAAAUUCCAGGUUUGGCACAUUUGCAAGUUGGCAAAAUGAGACCUGACUCAGUAUCCAUGACAACUCUGCUGAUGUGGUGCUAUAAAUAAGACAAAGACAUGAAGACACUGGAAUCAGUUUGUCUGUUUCUAUUCUACGACUUUGAUGAGAUUUUGUGUUGUUUUUUGUUUGUUUGUAAUUUAAAGUAAGUCUUUAUACAUACGUGUGCUACAGCCAAGAUUUCAGUCAAGGACAUUCUUAAUAUAGUGAAAGGAAGGCAUGUUUUCUUUAAGUCUCUUUACGGCAAGGUCUGCGAAGACAGGCACUCUUAGAUAAGAAAGUAUAGCUGGAAAAAAAACUGACAAAGUUUCAAGCUAAGCAUGUUGCCAACAUGCAUCUGUUUCAGAAAUGAAGUCAUCUAAAAUAAGUAAUUUUUUUAGUCAGAUUUACAAUAUGUCCCCACAAGCAGCAAGAGUGGAACAGAAGUGAGUCUGGUUAAUGUUUUCAGUCUGACAGGUAGGAAAGAAGGACCUGAGCAAAAUUUAUUUCAAGUCAGAAUCUUCUAUACAUCUAUGUUAUACGUUUUUUUUUGUUUUGUUUUGUUUUGUUUUUUAAAUAGAUACUAUAUAGUAAAGAGUAAUGAGAGAAUAUAAUUUGUGGAUAUUUUUCUUUAGAUGAGUAUCUAAAAAACUUCUUCUUAGGACAAUAUGGGUGAAAAAGCAAGAAACUAAAAGUGUGUACAUAAUUAUGACCAAAAGAAUUCUACCUGCCAAAACAAAUUCACAGUUCUGUGUAUUUCCUAUAGCAGAUGAUUGUCCUAGUACCUAAAAUGAGGAAGGAAGGAAGUCACCAGGAACACUGAAAGUUAACAGACAAAAACAUGGAUAAAAAAGACAGUAUUGGCUUGCAAAAUGGAGGAUUCAAAGUCACAGAAAGGAAAACCAAUUAUUCAGUUUAAGGCAACUGUUUUGAAAUACAUAUAAGCAGAAGUUACCACAGGAAAACAAUAAAUUGGAUGAGUUUCCAUAACAUAAUGCAAAAAGAAGUCUUACUGAAAUUCUGGAAUAGUAUCUAGGAAUAUCUAUUCACAGGAGCAGAAAGAAUUAUAUAACUCUAUUUAUUACUAGUGAAUCCACUCUAGGAACAGUGUAUUUUGUUCCGAAUGUGCUUGCCCUACAGAAAAAUGGUAAAUACUGCUGUGAACUCAAGUAAGAUGUCAAUACUGAACACAAUGAGUUUAGCGGUAUUAUUUUAGAGAUAUGGUGAUAACCUAAAAAUACAAGUCCCUAUGAGUCCCUAUGAGUAAGAAAUCAGGGAAGGGUGGCAGGAGACCUGUGUGGAUGAGCAAGGAGCUCAUGCGUAAACUCAAAGGAAAUAAGAAGGUCUAUGAAAUGUGGAAAAAGGGUCUGACCACUUGGGAAUAUAGGAAUGUGGUCAGGGCCUUCAGGGAUGUGGCGAGGAAGGCUAAAGCCCACCUGGAAUUGAAUCUGGCAAAGGUGAUAGAGGAUAAUAAGAAAGGCUUUUUAAAGUACAUCAGUAGUAAAAAGAAGAGUAGGGAAAAUGUGGGUCCUCUACUAAAUGAAGGGGGUGUUCUGGUAACGGGGGAUGCCAAGAAGAUGGAGACUGAACACCUUCUUUGCUUCUGUCUUCAGUGGAAAGACUCCCCCUUGGGAAUCCUGGACCCCUGAGGUCUUCUUUGAGAUAUGGUCACGUUGCAGAGCCUACAGGAAAAAAUCUGAGCAGGACUGUGCCUCUUCUAACAGUAUAUUCUGGUACUUGAUUCUCCAGAUAUUAUAUGGUACCAUCUUGAAUUUGCUGUAUGAACAUUGGUUGCUAUGGAAAUAAUCAUCUCCUAAAUUCAGCAUUACUGAUUUUGGUUAAUAUGGGAAUGCUUGAGUGUGGCUCCUCUUCAGAUCGGAGCUGUACCCCUAUGAUAAGGUUCUGUGUUGAGGAAUGGCUCCACAGCCAAGGGGGCCAUGGGUCUCUUGAACGGCUGUACGAGCAGGACAGGCCUAAUAGUUGGCAGGAGAUACAAGUGGAAAAGUACUAGCUUGCUAUGCUAUGAUGGCUCAGGGAGCAAGAACUUGCUGAGCUCAGGUGCUACGUGUGCAACUCAAGCUAGAAGACCUUGAGGCUAUGAAAGCACAAAGAAGAAGCUGAGGCUGCAGCUAAGAUAAGGGGGAAGCUCGCCUGGGAAGAGACUGAGUAAUGGAAUACAAAGAACAAUGCGAUGAUUAAUGCUGUAUCUGUAGCUAGGCGAGCGAGGUGUGUGACUCCACGGCCAAUGGUAUUGUAGGGCCAGGGGCUCUCGCAAUGCUUCAACCAAUUAUAAGAUGACAUGCUUUUGCCAGGAUCUAUAUAUGUGUGUAAGCAACGGAUAAUAAACGGAGAUUCUGAUGCACUCAUAUUGGGUCAUGUCAUCACUCCCCAUGCGGCUCAGCCAGCGAACUGACUAGAUUCCGGUUUUCCGAACCCUGGGGAACCCGCGACAACCUGGGACUGGGGUUCGCGACAGUUCUGGACACUCUUUACAGGAAAAUUCAUAGGGAGAAAAUGUAAGAGAAUUAAAUCUCCAUUUAAUAACAUAGAUCUAUGCUAGUCCAAAAGGAUUAGCCUGACCUCUGUGAAUGGGAAGAUCAUGGAGCAGAUCCUUCUGGUUACCAAGUUAAGGCACAUACAAGAUGAAGAGGUGAUCCAAGACAGCCAGAAUGGCUUCACCAAGAGCAGAUCUUGCCUGACCAAUCUGGUGGCCUUCUAGGUUGGAGUGAUGGCAUCAGUGAACAAGGGAAGGGCAAUGGAUG
ensembl:lncRNA